rnacentral:rRNA from 1 species
AUUGAACGCUGGCGGCAUGCUUUACACAUGCAAGUCGAACGGUAACAGGCCGCAAGGUGCUGACGAGUGGCGAACGGGUGAGUAAUGCAUCGGAACGUGCCCAGUCGUGGGGGAUAACGCAGCGAAAGCUGUGCUAAUACCGCAUACGAUCCGGGGAUGAAAGCGGGGGACCGAAAGGCCUCGCGCGAUUGGAGCGGCCGAUGUCAGAUUAGGUAGUUGGUGGGGUAAAGGCUCACCAAGCCGACGAUCUGUAGCUGGUCUGAGAGGACGACCAGCCACACUGGGACUGAGACACGGCCCAGACUCCUACGGGAGGCAGCAGUGGGGAAUUUUGGACAAUGGGCGCAAGCCUGAUCCAGCAAUGCCGCAUGCAGGAAGAAGGCCUUCGGGUUGUAAACUGCUUUUGUACGGAGCGAAAAGGCUCUCUCUAAUACAGGGGGCUCAUGACGGUACCGUAAGAAUAAGCACCGGCUAACUACGUGCCAGCAGCCGCGGUAAUAC